GACGAACGCUGGCGGCGUGCUUAACACAUGCAAGUCGAACGGAAAGGCCCUGCUUUUGUGGGGUGCUCGAGUGGCGAACGGGUGAGUAACACGUGAGUAACCUGCCCUUGACUUUGGGAUAACUUCAGGAGACUGGGGCUAAUACCGGAUAGGAGCUCCUGCUGCAUGGUGGGGGUUGGAGAGUUUCGGCGGUUGGGGAUGGACUGGCGGCUUAUCAGCUUGUUGGUGGGGUAGUGGCUUACCAAGGCUUUGACGGGUAGACGGCAUGAGAGGGUGACCGGCGACAUUGGGACUGAGAGACGGCCCAGACUCCUACGGGAGGCAGCAGUGGGGAAUAUUGCACAAUGGGCGGAAGCCUGAUGCAGCAACGCUGCGUGCGGGAUGACGGCCUUCGGGGGGUAAACCGCUUUCGCCGGUGACGAAGCGUGAGUGACGGUAAUGGGUAAAGAAGCACCGGCUAACUACGUG
rnacentral:rRNA from 1 species